AGGGUUCGAUUAUGGCUCAGGACGAACGCUGGCGGCGUGCUUAACACAUGCAAGUCGAACGAGGAUGACGACUUCGGUUGUCAUUCGAGUGGCGGACGGGUGAGUAACGCGUGAGCAAUCUGUCCCACAGAGGGGGAUAACAACUGGAAACAGUUGCUAAUACCGCAUAAGACCACACUGUCGCAUGACAGAGAGGUCAAAGGAGCAAUCCGCUGUGGGGUGAGCUCGCGUCCGAUUAGUUCGUUGGUGAGGUAACGGCCCACCAAGACAGCGAUCGGUAGCCGACCUGAGAGGGUGAUCGGCCACAUUGGGACUGAGACACGGCCCAG
rnacentral:rRNA from 1 species